UUUUUUUUUUUUUUUUUUUUUUUUUUUUUGCAGAAAGAUAACUUUUUAAUU
rnacentral:ribozyme from 1 species